rnacentral:piRNA from 1 species
UGAAAACCUGAGAACUUGAAAGUAAC